GACAGAGGUGCCAAGCGUUAGGCGGAAUCACUGGGCUUAAAGCGUGUGUAGGCGGAUUUGUAAGUACCUUGUGAAAUCCCACGGCUCAACCGUGGAACUGCUCGGUAUACUGCUUAUCUUGAGCCACUUAGGGGCUACCGAAACAAAUGGUGGAGCGGUGAAAUGCGUAGAUAUCAUUUGGAACGCCAAUGGUGAAAACAGGUAGCUGGGAGUGUGCUGACGCUGAGACACGAAAGCCAGGGGAGCGAACGGG
rnacentral:rRNA from 1 species